AUUGAACGCUGGCGGCAGGCCUAACCCAUGCAAGUCGAACGAGUGGCGGACGGGUGAGUAAUGUCUGGGAAACUGCCUGAUGGAGGGUGAUAACUACUGGACACGGUAGCUCAUACCGCAUACCAUCGGAUGUGCCCAGAUGGGAUUAGCUAGUAGGUGGGGUAAAGGCUCACCUAGGCGACGAUCCCUAGCUGGUCUGAGAGGAUGACCAGCAACACUGGAACUGAGACACGGUCCAGAGUCGUAAGGGAGGCAGAAGUGGGGAAUAUUGCACAAUGGGAGAAAGCCUGAUGCAGCCAUGCCGCGUGUAUGAAGAAGGCCUUCGGGUUGUAAAGUACUUUCAGCGGGGAGGCGUUACCCGCAGAAGAAGCACCGGCUAACUCCGUGCCAGCCGCCGCGGUAAUAC
rnacentral:rRNA from 1 species